CUCAUAUGUUUGAAUACUUGAUUCUACUCUAGGGGAACUGUUUGGAGGGGGCGUUUCACUGGGGUCAGGCUUUGAGGUUUCAAAAGCCCAAGCCAUUCCUAAUUAUCCAUCUCUGCCUCCUAGCUGUAGAUCAAGACAUGAGCUCCCAGCUGUCUCUACCAUGACUUUGCUGUGACAUCUCGGACUCUGCAACUGAACAGUACCAGUAGAAUGAAUAUGCGUCAAAAGGUAUUCAUGAGAUGAGCCUGCAUGAUAUGGUGUAAUCUAAUCAGGCUGUCUUCACACUGGAAACCUGCAUUGGUGACCAAGAGAGUCUCUCCAGGGAGAGAAUGUACAUGCAUCGUCCAUAAGCCAUCCCCACAAUACAUCCUGAGGAUCUGGAUAUCCCUUGUGUCCCAUCUGUGGAAGGUUUGGUUCCCCAGUAGAACCACCAUGAGGAAUAACAGGUAUUGGUCAUAGUGACAGAAAGCAACACAGAGAAGAUGGAACUUCCUCCUGAAAUCCUCAAGCUCCCUCCUCCCACCUGUCCGUGAUCAGACCGGUGGCCUGGUUUUUGUCACUGUAAACCAGUUCAGAUUUUCUAAACUUCUACUGAAUGGACCACACCCUCUUGGGGUCAGCACCAUCAUCACCAGAGCACAUCAGUGGUUGACAACUUCCUUUCAGGACAUGCCCCAAGCCACUGUCUGUUGUCAGCCGGAGACCUGUACCCGGUGCCAUGUCCUUAAGUGGUGAAGAUUCAUGUGGACUAGGCAAGACAGACUAGAUGGACAUGCUACACUUGUGGGAUUCUCGGGCACCUAGUCCCGCCUCGGCUUUAUUUUCAAUGUUCUGACUUCAAAGGUAAACCUGAUUUCACGUUUGAUCGAUGGUGCUGGCAGUCAUACUUGUCACCUUAUUUUAUUGUUCCCCCUUCAUCAAUAUUAGGUUAAUCCACAUGGACCCCCUUUAGAUUGGAAUCAGCACACAGUAGAAGCUGCACAGGGAUCUAUCUAAUAUGUGUGAUGCUGACAGAGACUGCCAGCUGUCUUUGACAUUGUGAAAACUAAUCUUGAUUGUCAAUCUAGGAUUGUCUUGGAGACAAGUCUCUGGGCCUGCCUAUGAGAAAUUUCCUAGAUUGGGGUAACAGAG
rnacentral:lncRNA from 1 species